UCCCUGGUAGUAUAUCGGUUAGUACACGCGCCUGUCAGAACCUUUGAGCGCGCGAAAGCUGGGUUCGACUCCCAGCCAGGGAG